CAACUAUUUGCCAUAAAGAUUAAGCAAAUAUGCCAAUUCCAAUCAACUACAAAUGCAGAUUGAGGUCAGUGGCAAAAUCGUCCAAAUUUUCCUGUGCAACCUAAAACACUAAACCAAAUAUAUCAGUACGUUCAGGGGAUUAAAGUAAAUGAAAUGGCAAGAAAAAAUCAUGAUAGAGGUCCUCCACGCGUCGUCGUCGCCUCCGCCACGCGCCGCCUCACAGGGGGUGCUUCGAACUGCUGGUUGUGGGUCCGACCUCCGUUGGACGAACGGAGGUUUGGUUUGAGAGUGAUUGAAGUUUUCAGAUUCGGUUAGAUUGAAGAAAUUGCCUAUUUCUUCCAAUUUUUGAUCUUAUUUUUUGCAAGAUUAUGAUAGCCCACGCUCUGAUACGAGAUGUUGAAGGUAUAUUGAGCACCAAAGCUUGUCUAGGCUCAAUUUCUUUCAACUUCUAACACCACAACCUGACAACAACGACCUAAGACAAUAACCAAGCUUCCACUUCCGGGUGCCAAUGAGAUAAUUCACUUGGGAGACCACAAAGGUGCACUAUAUCUCAUAUAUUAUCACCACUAUAUGUAGAAAUCAAAAGAAGGCAGAAUGAGUAGAAGGAAUCUCGUAGAAACCGGCCGAAUAGAGAGAGGCAGAGGACGUCUCUCACCAAGAGAGAAAGAGACCCAUUUUAUCAAGUAAUAAUGGCCCAAAUAUGGUAAGUGUAGCUAGGUUAUUAGAUGGUUCAAAGUAAAGGCCCAAUAAGUAAGUAAAUGGGCUCGCAAGUAAUCUCUUUCAAUUAUGGUCAUCCAAGAAAGUGGAUUGGGCCACGAACAACACUAAAUUAUUUAGGUUGCUUCGAGUGGCCUAAUUAACCUUUGGGUCGUAUCAUCUCGAUCGUGGUGCUAAAUUUUCGUUCAGUCAUUUGGCUAAGCCGACUGAAAAAUAAAACCGGGUAACAUUAUAGUUCAGGGAGGUCAUUUGACAACAAAUUGCUAAACAUUCACCGUUUACAAUGUAUAGCAUGCGGAAAUGGGUUUCUCCAGUUGGACAAUAGAUUUGGAAAACAAAUUACAAGACAAUAGAGCUCUAAUGAUCAAUCCUUCUCAAGAGGAAGCAAGUCUUGAUGAAAAAUCUAGUUCAAGAUUUUAGAAGGUUUUCGAAGACAAUCCUACGACUCGAAAUGAAUUCCAGCCAAGUCUUGAUCAACAAUCUAGUUCUCGAUCCAAUAAAGAUUUAUGAAUGACCUCACUUUGAAGCCAAAACUAGCUUGUGAGCUGCAGAACUCGAAGCAAAAUCUGUGAGCUCGUGUUACAGGCGAAUUCCACCGCUUUAGGGGGUCACACAUGUUGUACUAAAUUACCAAAAUUAGCUCAUUAGAAAUCCAUUUAAAUUGUUUAAAUGAGUCUUGUUGGAGUCCUCGAACCAUUAGUUAUUAAAUAAGAUUUAUUUUGAGAAUCUUCACAGGACGUUGAGAAAAUGAAAAACAAUUCACCAAGAAACUUUGUUGCAACAAGAAAAGAAAGAAGAAAAUAACUGGUCUUGGCGUGAAUAAAGAAAAUACGUCGUCUUAAAAACGUUAUUUGCUCUCCCUCUAUUAGAUAGAGAUGCUUUAGGUACUUCAAGUAAAUGGCCUUGGCAAAUUCUCUGAACCUUCAUUCAGAUUGUAAAAGAACAAAUGAAUUUCCAAAAAAGAAUAAUGAUGUAUAACAUCAAUGGUGUGAAAACACCAAUCUGAAUGACAUACUGUAAUGUGAUAGACUCAAUUAAAUGUUGUAUUAUGUGAUUAAUUUAAAUAGCGUCUAUCAUUUAAUGUCAAUUAGAUCGGUAUUGUAAUAGCAUUGCUAUUUUCUAUUAAUUUAAACCCAUACGUAGUGAAUGAUCACUACAACAUGAAAGGACUAGACACCUUUUGAUGGCAAGAAAGCCAAUUUCGUGCGCCUUAUGCACAGGGGGUAGCUUGGGAGCACAUUAUACAGUAAAUUCAGAUUAUAAACAAUUUUUAUGCAUAAAAUAAUAAUCUUACCUUAUUGUAAACAAGGGAAAGUAUUACUAAAAUCGUAAAUAGUUUUAAGCUUUGAACCCGUCGUUUCUUUUGACAAUACUGUCAAUGUCACACUUGAAUAUUCAAGUUUCAUAUGGUACCAAAUUUGAUGAUUUACUCAAUAUUCAGUGUUAGCAUCUUUUGAUCUUUUAGGUUUUAGUGAUUAUAAGCGAGAAGCCGGAUGUGGCAUGGGGAUUGGCCCAUGUCUUUGAUUCAAAUGGUAUUAUUUUCAUCAAAUGUAACCAAAUCCCUUUGAAUUAAUCCUCCUUUUUUUUUUUUUUUUUUUUUUAAACCGUGCUUAGAGUGGGGGAAAAAAAAAGAAAAAAAAGAAGAAGUGGUAUUAUCAAAAAAAAAAAAAAAAAAAUACUGUUUGACAAUCAUUAUAAUGAAAAAUUUG
rnacentral:lncRNA from 1 species